CAGAGUUAUCCAACUCCCAAACCCAUGUGAACUUAUCUCUUUGUUGCCUCGGCGCAAACUACCCGGGACCUCGCGCCCCGGGCGGCCCGCCGGCGGACAAACCAAAACUCUUGUUAUCUUAGUUGAUUAUCUGAGUGUCUUAUUUAAUAAGUCA
rnacentral:misc_RNA from 1 species